rnacentral:rRNA from 1 species
CCUACGGGAGGCUGCAGUAGGGAAUAUUGCUCAAUGGGGGAAACCCUGAAGCAGCAACGCCGCGUGGAGGAUGAAGGUUUUAGGAUUGUAAACUCCUUUUGUGAGAGAAGAUAAUGACGGUAUCUCACGAAUAAGCACCGGCUAACUCCGUGCCAACAGCCGCGGUAAUACGGAGGGUGCAAGCGUUACUCGGAAUCACUGGGCGUAAAGAGUGCGCAGGCGGGUUUGUAAGUCAGAUGUGAAAUCCUGUAGCUUAACUACAGAACUGCAUUUGAAACUAUGAGUCUAGAGUGUGGGAGAGGUAGGUGGAAUUCUUGGUGUAGGGGUAAAAUGCGUAGAUAUCAAGAGGAAGACUCAUUGCGAAGGCGACCUACUGGAACAUUACUGACGCUCAUGCACGAAAGCGUGGGGAGCAAACAGGAUUAGAUACCCCAGUAGUC